rnacentral:rRNA from 1 species
AGGAAAGAAUAAUGACGGUACCUGAUGAAUAAGCACCGGCUAACUCCGUGCCAGCAGCCGCGGUAAUACGGGGGGUGCAAGCGUUACUCGGAAUCACUGGGCGUAAAGGACGCGUAGGCGGAUUAUCAAGUCUUUUGUGAAAUCUAGUGGCUUAACCACUAAACUGCUUAGGAAACUGAUAGUCUAGAGUAGGGGAGAGGUAGAUGGAAUUCUUGGUGUAGGGGUAAAAUCCGUAGAGAUCAAGAAGAAUACCCAUUGCGAAAGCGAUCUGCUGGAACCUAACUGACGCUGAGGCGUGAAAGCGUGGGUAGCAAACAGGAUUAGAUACCCUGGUAGUCCACGCCCUAAACGAUGUAUACUAGUUGUUGCUUUGCUAGUCAAGGCAGUAAUGCAGCUAACGCAUUAAGUAUACCGCCUGGGGAGUACGGUCGCAAGAUUAAAACUCAAAGGAAUAGACGGGGACCCGCACAAGCGGUGGAGCAUGUGGUUUAAUUCGAAGAUACGCGAAGAACCUUACCUGGACUUGACAUCCUAAAAACAUCUAAGAGAUUAGAAAGUGCUAGUUUACUAGAAUUUAGUGACAGGUGCUGCACGGCUGUCGUCAGCUCGUGUCGUGAGAUGUUGGGUUAAGUCCCGCAACGAGCGCAACCCACGUGUUUAGUUGCUAACAGCUCGGCUGAGCACUCUAAACAGACUGCCUUCGUAAGGAGGAGGAAGGUGUGGACGACGUCAAG